AAUUUGCCGUUCAGUUUUCUCUUUUCUCAGUCAGCACUGACUCGUUUUAUUAUCGACCUAUAAUUAUCUAAAACUCUGAAGAACAUAUUUAAUCAAGGAUAGCACUGCAGAACACAAAUACGCGACUAUGGUCGGGACUCUGCACAUCCGUUUUGUGGAAGUGAUAAUAAAACACCAAGCAACAAGAACAUGCAAACAGGUGCGAGGAGUUGGCAUUGGGAGAGGGGGGUCAAGGUGACUAACGCCACUUUAUUGCCUCCCCUAACAUCAGAACAGGCACAGUAACAGCAACAACAAUCCACCACCACCGAAAGACGGAACCCGACACAAAGCAACCAAUAAUUUAUAACCGGUUCUUUCGCUGCCCCCUGCCCCUCCCUCCACCAACAGCUGUCAGCGAUAAGACAACGCCUCUUCCCCCUUCCCUGCCCCACCCAACCAAAUGCUAAGAAAAUAGAAUGCAACAAAUAAAAAAGUGCAGAAGCUUGUGAUACCCU